CCUACGGGUGGCAGCAGUGAGGAAUCUUGGUCAAUGGACGAGAGUCUGAACCAGCCAAGUAGCGUGAAGGAUGACUGCCCUAUGGGUUGUAAACUUCUUUUGUAUGGGAAUAAAAUGUUCCACGUGUGUGCUUUUGUAUGUACCAUAUUAAUAAGGAUCGGCUAACUCCGUGCCAGCAGCCGCGGUACUCCGGAGGAUCCGAGCGUUAUCCGUAUUUAUUGGGUUUAAAGGGAGCGUAGAUGGGUUGUUAAGUCAGUUGUGAAAGUUUGCGGCUCAACCGUAUACUUGCAAUUGAGACUGGCAGCCUGGAGUACAGGUGAGGUAGGCGGAAUUCGUGGUGUAGCGGUGAAAUGCAUAGAUAUCACGAAGAACUCCGAUUGCGAAGGCAGCCUACUAGACUGCAACUGACAUUGAGGCUCGAAAGUGUGGGUAUCAAACAGGAUUAGAUACCCCGGUAGUC
rnacentral:rRNA from 1 species